CGUGAGUGAUGAGCUCCUCUUCCUGACUCUCUGUGGAGGCACAAACUGAUUUAAUGAGCCUGACAC